UGGGGAAUAUUGGACAAUGGGGGCAACCCUGAUCCAGCAAUGCCGCGUGUGUGAAGAAGGUUUUCGGAUUGUAAAGCACUUUCGACGGGGACGAUGAUGACGGUACCCGUAGAAGAAGCCCCGGCUAACUUCGUGCCAGCAGCCGCGGUAAUACGAAGGGGGCUAGCGUUGCUCGGAAUGACUGGGCGUAAAGGGCGUGUAGGCGGUUUGUACAGUCAGAUGUGAAAAUCCCCGGGCUUAACCUGGGAGCUGCAUUUGAUACGUGCAGACUAGAGUGUGAGAGAGGGUUGUGGAAUUCCCAGUGUAGAGGUGAAAUUCGUAGAUAUUGGGAAGAACACCGGUGGCGAAGGCGGCAACCUGGCUCAUAACUGACGCUGAGGCGCGAAAGCGUGGGGAGCAAACAGGAUUAGAUACCCUGGUAGUCCACGCUGUAAACGAUGUGUGCUAGAUGUUGGGUAACUUAGUUAUUCAGUGUCGCAGUUAACGCGUUAAGCACACCGCCUGGGGAGUACGGCCGCAAGGUUG
rnacentral:rRNA from 1 species